GGGCUCGUGGCUCAGCUAGGUAGAGCAGCAGGCUCUUAACCUGUCGGUCGUGGGUUCGAAUCCCACCGAGCCCG
rnacentral:tRNA from 1 species